rnacentral:RNase_P_RNA from 1 species
UGAGUGGGCCGGGCAGUCGCUGGCCGAACAUAUUUUUCGGUAUCGAAAUUGGCAUUUUCAUCUUUCGAGAUGUUGUGGCAAUUUUUGUACCAAAAAUAUUCUGGCGAGAGGAAAGUCCGGGCUCCGUAGGAUGCGAUGGUGGGUAACGCCCACCAGCCGUGAGGCUAGGGAAAGUGCCACAGAAAACAAACCGCCAGCAUGCUCUGGCUACUGGUAAGGGUGAAAAGGUGAGGUAAGAGCUCACCAGCAGGCCGGGUGACCGGCCUGGCUUGGUAAACCCCAUCGGGAGCAAGGCCAAACAGAAAAGAGUCCGCUUGAAACAGCGGCCUGAGGCGAUCCGCCUCGGUUUCUUUUCGGGUGGGCUGCUUCAGGUGGCAGGUAACUGUCAUCGUAGAGAAAUGAUUGCUGCUUUUGGGCUUUGCCCAAAAGAACAAAACCCGGCUUACAGGCCCACUCAGAUU